AUUGAACGCUGGCGGCAUGCCUUACACAUGCAAGUCGAACGGCAGCACGGGUGCUUGCACCCGGUGGCGAGUGGCGAACGGGUGAGUAAUAUAUCGGAACGUACCUUAUUGUGGGGGAUAACGCAGCGAAAGCUGUGCUAAUACCGCAUAAUCCCUAAGGGGGAAAGCGGGGGACCGUAAGGCCUCGCGCAAUUAGAGCGGCCGAUACCUGAUUAGCUAGUUGGUGAGGUAAAGGCUCACCAAGGCAACGAUCAGUAGCUGGUCUGAGAGGACGAUCAGCCACACUGGGACUGAGACACGGCCCAGACUCAUACGGGAGGCAGCAGUGGGGAAUUUUGGACAAUGGGGGCAACCCUGAUCCAGCAAGGCCGCGUGAGUGAAGAAGGCCUUCGGGUUGUAAAGCUCUUUUGUCAGGGAAGAAACAGCAGCUCUAACACAGUUUGCGAAUGACGGUACCUGAAGAAUAAGCACCGGCUAACUACGUGCCAGCCGCCGCGGCAA
rnacentral:rRNA from 1 species